UAACUUUGAGCGGUGGAUCACUCGGCUCGUGCGUCGAUGAAGAGCGCAGCCAGCUGCGUGAAUUAAUGUAAUGCAGAACACA
rnacentral:rRNA from 1 species